GACGAACGCUGGCGGCGUGCUUAACACAUGCAAGUCGAACGGAAAGGCCCUGCUUGCAGGGUACUCGAGUGGCGAACGGGUGAGUAACACGUGGGUGAUCUGCCCUGCACUUCGGGAUAAGCCUGGGAAACUGGGUCUAAUACCGGAUAGGAGCCAUUUUUAGUGUGAUGGUUGGAAAGUUUUUUCGGUGUAGGAUGAGCUCGCGGCCUAUCAGCUUGUUGGUGGGGUAAUGGCCUACCAAGGCGGCGACGGGUAGCCGGCCUGAGAGGGUGGACGGCCACAUUGGGACUGAGAUACGGCCCAGACUCCUACGGGAGGCAGCGGUGGGGAAUAUUGCACAAUGGGCGCAAGCCUGAUGCAGCGACGCCGCGUGGGGGAUGACGGCCUUCGGGUUGUAAACUCCUUUCGCGAGGGACGAAGCUGUUUGUGACGGUACCUAGAUAAGAAGCACCGGCUAACUACGUG
rnacentral:rRNA from 1 species